AAUGAACGCUGGCGGCAGGCCUAACACAUGCAAGUCGAACGGAUCCUUCGGGCUUAGUGGCGGACGGGUGAGUAACGCGUGGGAACAUAUCCUUUGGUACGGAAUAGCCUCGGGAAACUGGGAGUAAUACCGUAUGUGGUCGAGAGACGAAAGAUUUAUCGCCAAAGGAUAGGCCCGCGUUGGUUUAGGUAGUUGGUGGGGUAAUGGCCUACCAAGCCGACGAUCCAUAGCUGGUUUGAGAGGUUGAUCAGCCACACUGGGACUGAGACACGGCCCAGACUCCUACGGGAGGCAGCAGUGGGGAAUCUUAGACAAUGGGGGAAACCCUGAUCUAGCCAUGCCGCGUGAUCGAUGAAGGCCUUAGGGUUGUAAAGAUCUUUCAGGUGGGAAGAUAAUGACUGUACCACCAGAAGAAGCCCCGGCUAACUCCGUGCCAUCCGCCGCCGUAA
rnacentral:rRNA from 1 species